AGUGAACGCUGGCGGUAGGCCUAACACAUGCAAGUCGAACGGCAGCACAGUAAGAGCUUGCUCUUACGGGUGGCGAGUGGCGGACGGGUGAGGAAUACAUCGGAAUCUACUUUUUCGUGGGGGAUAACGUAGGGAAACUUACGCUAAUACCGCAUACGACCUACGGGUGAAAGCAGGGGAUCUUCGGACCUUGCGCGAUUGAAUGAGCCGAUGUCGGAUUAGCUAGUUGGCGGGGUAAAGGCCCACCAAGGCGACGAUCCGUAGCUGGUCUGAGAGGAUGAUCAGCGACACUGGAACUGAGACACGGUCCAGACUCCUAAGGGAGGGAGCAGUGGGGAAUAUUGGACAAUGGGCGCAAGCCUGAUCCAGCCAGACCGCGUGGGUGAAGAAGGCCUUCGGGUUGUAAAGCCCUUUUGUUGGGAAAGAAAGGCAGCAGGUUAAUACCCCGCUGUUCUGACGGUACCCAAAGAAUAAGCACCGGCUAACUUCGUG
rnacentral:rRNA from 1 species